GAGGGUAUAGCUCAGUGAUAGAGCGUGUGCUUAGCAUGAAGAAUGCCCUGGGUUCAAUUCCCAGCCCCUCA
rnacentral:tRNA from 1 species